GCGCCGGUGAUGUAAGGCGAACAUCGCUGCCCGGAAAGCAGAAGAUGCGGCUUCGAGUCCCGCCUGGCGCA
rnacentral:tRNA from 1 species